CUCUUAAGAACACCAAUUUCCAGCUCUCCCUAUCUCAGCCCCUCCAUCUCCCUGUUGCUCUCUAGUGCCCUUCUCUCUCUCUCUCUUGAAAAAACCCAUUUCCAACCCCAUCUCCCUGCUUCUCUCUCCAUAUCUCAGCCCCUCCAUCUCUCUCCUUUUCUCUCAAGUGGCAACGGCAACCCCCCUCUCCCUUCCAAUGUCUCUUUCCAACACAAGUGGCCAUGAAAGCAACGGACCACAAGCACACACGAUACCCUCAGGUAUGAAGAGAAAUUUCGAUUGGCCAUUUAUGUACUCCACCAUGAAACUAUCCUUCUCCAGUAUCUUUUUCCGAUUCUAUUGUUUUUUCAAUGUAUAAAUCAAUGUACAUACAAGGAAUUUUCAUCAAGGUAUUUUGA